rnacentral:rRNA from 1 species
UACGUAGGGUGCAAGCGUUGUCCGGAAUUAUUGGGCGUAAAGAGCUCGUAGGCGGUCUGUCGCGUCGGCUGUGAAAACUCGGGGCUCAACCCCGAGCCUGCAGUCGAUACGGGCAGACUAGAGUGCUGUAGGGGAGACUGGAAUUCCUGGUGUAGCGGUGAAAUGCGCAGAUAUCAGGAGGAACACCGGUGGCGAAGGCGGGUCUCUGGGCCGUAACUGACGCUGAGGAGCGAAAGCAUGGGGAGCGAACAGG